rnacentral:snoRNA from 1 species
UGGGAGUGAUGAAAACUCAAAGAGCCUGACCAACCCUUAUGCGUGGAGGCCAAAGCUGAUUUAAUGAGCCUGAUCC